rnacentral:lncRNA from 1 species
CAGGGAAACUUUGUCAAAACCCAUUAGGGUAUUCAUUGGAGCUGGUGAAACAAGCAAAGAAUGAUGUAACAGAAGAAUACAUGAAAUCAUUAGCAGAUUUAAUGGUGAUUAAGGGUCGACCACAUUUCACGGUUAUUCGAUCUUACCUGGUGUCGGAUGUGACACGUGCCGGGUUUGAUGAUGCGGAUUUCGGGUGGGGCAAGGCAGUUUAUGGUGGUCCAGCUAAAGGUGGAGUAGGGGCAAUACCUGGAGUAGCAAGUUUUUUAAUACCAUUCAAGAACAAGAAAGGAGAGGCUGGAAUUGUGCUACCAAUUACGUUGCCAGCCCGAGCUAUGGAAAUAUUUGUGAAAGAAUUAGAUGGCAUGUUAAAGGGAAAGCCAAUAGAACGUAAACCC